AGUUAAACUGCACAGGUUAGUUGCGUGUUUAUAUACAUUGUAACCCAUGGCAACCAAUCGCCAUUUUGUAAAGUGGUCUCCGGUAUCAUGCAAAUAUCUCAUUACGGCUAGUUCAAAACGUCAUCCAGAAUUAGGGUCGAAUGAUCCUCCUGAGUAGCACAUGAAGUAAUGCAGUCGAUUUUUUUCCGGAACCAUAGGUAUCCUUUUGCUACAGAUUACCUUUUUUGCUUACGUAGAGAAACGAAGAAAAUAUUUUACCAUCCAAAUCUGCAAAUUCGAUUUUUCAAACUUGACUUUUUGAAGGAGAAACUGGUUUUACCAAAUUAUAGUGAUACGUGUUUUUUUGCAACUGUGACAGCUGUUAUUCCAUACAAAGAUGACAAACAAUUUAUAAAUUGUGCUAACUCUUG